AGUGAACGCUGGCGGUAGGCCUAACACAUGCAAGUCGAACGGCAGCACAGUAAGAGCUUGCUCUUACGGGUGGCGAGUGGCGGACGGGUGAGGAAUACAUCGGAAUCUACUUUUUCGUGGGGGAUAACGUAGGGAAACUUACGCUACUACCGCAUACGACCUACGGGUGAAAGCAGGGGAUCUUCGGACCUUGCGCUAUUGAAUGAUCCGAUGUCGGAUUAGCUAGUUGGCGGGGUAAAGGCCCACCAAGGCGACGAUCCGUAGCUGGUCUGAGAGGAUGAUCAGCCACACUGGAAGUGAGACACGGUCCAGACUCCUACGGGAGGCAGCAGUGGGGAAUAUUGUACAAUGGGCGCAAGCCUGAUCCAGCCAUACCGCGUGGGUGAAGAAGGCCUUCGGGUUGUAAAGCCCUUUUGUUGGGAAAGAAAAGCAGCAGGUUAAUACCCCGCUGUUCUGACGGUACCCAAAGAAUAAGCACCGGCUAACUUCGUG
rnacentral:rRNA from 1 species